rnacentral:rRNA from 1 species
CACGUAGGGGGCGAGCGUUGUCCGGAUUUAUUGGGCGUAAAGAGCUCGUAGGCGGCUCAGUAAGUCAGGUGUGAAAACUCCAGGCUCAACCUGGAGACGCCAUCUGAUACUGCUGUGGCUAGAGUCCGGUAGGGGAGCAUGGAAUUCCUGGUGUAGCGGUGAAAUGCGCAGAUAUCAGGAGGAACACCAGUGGCGGAAGGCGGUGCUCUGGGCCGGAACUGACGCUGAGGAGCGAAAGCGUGGGGAGCAAACAGG